AUACGGAGGAUGCGAGCGUUAUCCGGAUUUAUUGGGUUUAAAGGGAGCGUAGGUGGGAUAUUAAGUCAGCUGUGAAAGUUUGGGGCUCAACCUUAAAAUUGCAGUUGAUACUGGUUUCCUUGAGUACGGUACAGGUGGGCGGAAUUCGUGGUGUAGCGGUGAAAUGCUUAGAUAUCACGAAGAACUCCGAUCGCGAAGGCAGCUCACCGGGCCGGAACUGACACUGAUGCUCGAAAGUGCGGGUAUCAAACAGGGUUAGAUACCCUGGUAGUCCGCACAGUAAACGAUGAAUACUCGCUGUUUGCGAUACACGGUAAGCGGCCAAGCGAAAGCGUUAAGUAUUCCACCUGGGGAGUACGCCGGCAACGGUGAAACUCAAAUGAAUUGGCGGGG
rnacentral:rRNA from 1 species